rnacentral:rRNA from 1 species
UACGAAGGACCCAAGCGUUAUCCGGAUUUAUUGGGCUUAAAGGGUGCGUAGGCGGGUUAUUAAGUCAGUGGUGAAAGCCUACAGCUUAACUGUAGAAUUGCCAUUGAUACUGGCGACCUUGAGUCCGGGAGAGGUGAGUGGAACUGCGAGUGUAGAGGUGAAAUUCGUAGAUAUUCGCAAGAACACCAGUGGCGAAGGCGGCUCACUGGCCCGGUACUGACGCUGAGGUGCGAAAGCGUGGGGAGCAAACAGG